rnacentral:rRNA from 1 species
AUUGAACGCUGGCGGCAGGCUUAACACAUGCAAGUCGAGCGAGCGGCGGACGGGUGAGUAAUGUCUGGGAAACUGCCUGAUGGAGGGGGAUAACUACUGGAAACGGUAGCUAAUCCCGCAUACCAUCAGAUGUGCCCAGAUGGGAUUAGCUAUGAGGUGGGGUAAUGGGUCACCUAGGCGACGAUCCCUAGCUGGUCUGAGAGGAUGAUCAGCCACACGGGAACUGAGACAGGGUCCAUACGCCUAAGGGAGGGAGCAGUGGGGAAUAUUGCGCAAUGGGCGCAAGCCUGAUGCAGCCAUGCGGCGUGUGUGAAGAAGGCCUUCGGGUUGUAAAGCACGUUCAGCGAGGAGGCGUUACUCGCAGAAGAAGCACCGGCUAACUACGUGCCAGCCGCCGCGGUAAUUC